rnacentral:rRNA from 1 species
GACGAACGCUGGCGGCGUGCUUAACACAUGCAAGUCGAGCGAACAGACGAGGAGCUUGUUCCUCUGACGUUAGCGGCGGACGGGUGAGUAACACGUGUAUACCCUCCUUAUCAGACUGGGAUAACCUCGGGAAACCGGCGCUAAUACCGGAUAAUAUACUGAUCCGCAUGGUUCAAUAGUGAAAUACGGCUUUUCUGUCACUACUAGAUGGAUCCGCGCCGCAUUAGCUAGUUGGUAGGGUAACGGGUUAUCAAGGCAAGGAUGCGUAGCCGACCGGAGAGAGUGAUCGGCCACACUGGAGGUGAGACGCGGACCAGGCUCCUGCGAGAGGCAGCAGUAGGGAAUCUUCCGCAGUGGGCGAGAGCCUGACGGAGCAGCGCCGCGUGAGUGGUGAAGAUCUUGGGAUCGUAAAGCUCUGUUAUUGGGGAAGAACAAAUGUGUAAGGAGCUGUGCACGUCUUGACGGUACCUGGUCAGAAAGCCACGGCUAACUACGUG